rnacentral:rRNA from 1 species
AGAGUUUGAUCCUGGCUCAGGACGAACGCUGGCGGCGUGCUUAACACAUGCAAGUCGAACGAAAAUACCAAGCUUGCUUGGUUGAUUAGUGGCGAACGGGUGAGUAACACGUGAGUAACCUGCCCCUUACUUUCCUGGAUAACUGCUCGAAAGGGUAGCUAAUACGGGAUAUUCUGACCAUCCUGCAUGGGUUGGUUUGGAAAGGUUGUUUUUCUGGUAAGGGAUGGGCUCGCGGCCUAUCAGCUUGUUGGUGGGGUGAUGGCCUACCAAGGCUUUGACGGGUAGCCGGCCUGAGAGGGUGGACGGUCACACUGGGACUGAGAUACGGCCCAGACUCCUACGGGAGGCAGCAGUGGGGAAUAUUGCACAAUGGGCGCAAGCCUGAUGCAGCGACGCCGCGUGAGGGAUGAAGGCCUUCGGGUUGUAAACCUCUUUCGUCAGGGAACAAGGCACUGCCUUUUUUGGUGGUGUUGAGGGUACCUGGAUAAGAAGCGCCGGCUAACUACGUGCCAGCAGCCGCGGUAAUACGUAGGGCGCGAGCGUUGUCCGGAAUUAUUGGGCGUAAAGAGCUCGUAGGCGGCUGGUCGCGUCUGUCGUGAAAUCCUCUGGCUUAACUGGGGGCUUGCGGUGGGUACGGGCCGGCUUGAGUGCGGUAGGGGAGACUGGAACUCCUGGUGUAGCGGUGGAAUGCGCAGAUAUCAGGAAGAACACCGAUGGCGAAGGCAGGUUACUGGGCCGUUACUGACGCUGAGGAGCGAAAGCGUGGGGAGCGAACAGGAUUAGAUACCCUGGUAGUCCACGCCGUAAACGUUGGGCACUAGGUGUGGGGGGCCUUUUCCGGGUUUUCCGCGCCGUAGCUAACGCAUUAAGUGCCCCGCCUGGGGAGUACGGCCGCAAGGCUAAAACUCAAAGGAAUUGACGGGGGCCC